CAGUCAGACUGACACAAUGGUGCCAAAAUCAAGGAACUGGUCAGGUGCAAUUCAGCCACCCACCUACAGUCAUUUCCUGUGAGGAGGUCUUCACCUUGGAACUUGACCAUGGAGGAGCUUGGGCUUGAGAUCUCACACUGCUUCCCCUUGGACUGCCACAUGAUGACAAAAAUGAGGAAGAAAGAGAUUAAGUGAUUUACCCAGAAAAAAGAAUGCAUCAUGGAGGAGGAAGUACCGGGAUCCAGCAUCAAAUGAAGCUCACUUUUAUCUAUGAUGGACUAAGGGAGGUUGAAUGGUAAUAAAACAAAUGAGUAUAACA
rnacentral:lncRNA from 1 species